AGGGAUCAUUACGGAGUUAUACAACUCAUCAACCCUGUGAACAUACCUAAAACGUUGCCUCGGCGGGAACAGACGGCCCCGUAACACGGGCCGCCCCCGCCAGAGGACCCCCUAACUCUGUUUCUAUAAUGUUUCUUCUGAGUAAACAAGCAAAUAAAUUAAAACUUUCAACAACGGAUCUCUUGGCUCUGGCAUCGAUGAAGAACGCAGCGAAAUGCGAUAAGUAAUGUGAAUUGCAGAAUUCAGUGAAUCAUCGAAUCUUUGAACGCACAUUGCGCCCGCCAGUAUUCUGGCGGGCAUGCCUGUUCGAGCGUCAUUACAACCCUCAGGSCCCCGGGCCUGGCGUUGGGGAUCGGCGGAAGCCCCCUGCGGGCACAACGCCGUCCCCCAAAUACAGUGGCGGUCCCGCCGCAGCUUCCAUUGCGUAGUAGCUAACACCUCGCAACUGGAGAGCGGCGCGGCCACGCCGUAAAACACCCAACUUCUGAAUGUUGACCUCGAAUCAGGGAGGAAUACCCGCUGAACUUAA
rnacentral:rRNA from 1 species